ensembl:lncRNA
UAGUUUCGCUGAACUACUUUCUUUUUAAGUGUAACACUUGAAUCAAGGAUUUAAAAUAUGAUGAAAAAUUAUUAGAAGAAAUAGAAAUAAACAUGAAAACAAAUUAAGCGCAGCAGGAAAGAAAUUUGUUUUGGGGAAAAACACAGCGCGCUUAUUUGGACGAAUGUAAGGAAACAUGGGUGAAACACACAGGUCGUCACCCAGGCAGUGCGGGAGUGCACAGGGAAGGGUUUAGACAGGCGGUACUGGAGGGCGUACCAGAGAGUGUGAAAGCUAAAAUGAUGACUAACCCAGACCUGCCAGGUAGUGACUCUGCUGUGUGGGAGAGACAUUUGUUACACCAUUUACAAGACGCGACAGAAGAAGCGACAGGAGAAGAUAAACAGUUAAAGGAGCUGCAGGCUCGACUGCUGAAGCUCCAGCUCGCCAAAGGAAAGACGAGCGAUAGAUGGUUGCACAGGCUGCCCCAGCUGGAGGUAACGCCCCUGAUUUGUAUCCACUCCCACCAUGGGAGGAGACGUCGUAUGGGACAGCCCAAGGGGGUGGUUACAGGGGAGGCUAUGGAGGUAACUGCUGGGGAGGAGAGUGUUGAGGAG